rnacentral:rRNA from 1 species
UGGGGAAUAUUGCACAAUGGAGGGAACUCUGAUGCAGCGACGCCGCGUGAGUGAUGAAGGAAUUCGUUUCGUAAAACUCUGUUCUAUGGGAAGAAAAGGACUGUACCAUAGGAGAAAGCUCCUGCUAAAUACGUGCCAGCAGCCGCGGUAAUACGUAUGGAGCGAGCGUUGUCCGGAAUUAUUGGGCGUAAAGGGUGCGCAGGCGGCUUUACAAGUUGGAUGUGAAAUAUUGUGGCUCAACCACAAACGUGCAUCCAAAACUGCAAAGCUGGAGUUAAGGAGAGGUAAGUGGAAUUCCUGGUGUAGCGGUGGAAUGCGUAGAUAUCAGGAGGAAUACCGGUGGCGAAGGCGACUUACUGGAAUUAAACUGACGCUCAGGCACGAAAGCGUGGGGAGCAAACAGG